rnacentral:rRNA from 1 species
GAUGAACGCUGGCGGCGUGCCUAACACAUGCAAGUCGAACGGAGUUAUUAUUAUGAAGUUUUCGGAUGGAUUAAUAAUAACUUAGUGGCGGACGGGUGAGUAACGCGUGGGUAACCUGCCUCAUACAGGGGGAUAACAGUUGGAAACGGCUGCUAAAACCGCAUAACAUUGCACUGCCGCAUGACAGAGCAAGUAAAUAUUUAUAGGUAUGAGAUGGGCCCGCGUCUGAUUAGCUAGUUGGUAAGGUAACGGCUUACCAAGGCGACGAUCAGUAGCCGGCUUGAGAGAGUGACCGGCCACAUUGGGACUGAGACACGGCCCAAACUCCUACGGGAGGCAGCAGUGGGGAAUAUUGCACAAUGGGGGAAACCCUGAUGCAGCGACGCCGCGUGAGUGAAGAAGUAUUUCGGUAUGUAAAGCUCUAUCAGCGGGGAAGAAAAUGACGGUACCUGACUAAGAAGCCCCGGCUAACUACGUGCCAGCCGCCGCGGUAA